CGGCGACAACAGAUGCCUUUUAGCUUACCUUGCUCGCAGAGUUCAUGUCAGUUUGUUGUUAUGCUCGUACUUCGCCAUCAGCAGAACAAACAUUUGUACGGUAUUGCCAUCUCGCGUCGUUCUCAGAAUCUUUCCCUUCAAGAUCUCCAGUGUAUUUCAACGUUUUCAACAAUGGGAAAUCCUCAGCCUUCGAUCGUCUAAGCCUUCUGGACGCGUUUCUGUAACAUUUCCAGACUUGUGGCUCGAUCACUAUCAUGUCGGCGAUGGAACAAGCCUUUCUUAGAAAUUUCACCAGCCCUUCGUCCCCGUGGUUCAAGUGGAUCCACAUCGUAACCGAGAAACAGAACACGACGUCGAAUCGUGACUUUUCGAAUCGGUCAAGAUGCUCGUUCAGGACUCGGUUACAAUCCUCGGUCAAAAAAUCGAAGCACUCGAAAAUAAUACGAUCCGGGCGUGGAUUGCGUUCCCGUGCCCGCUCUAUUAAGAUCGGAUCGAGGUCCACGCCGAGCAAACUGAUCUCCUUCGACUGAUCGGCCGAUAAAGCUUUCUCGAGGAAGUCGUGCAACACGAAUGUUAAAUCCUGAAAUCGUUAAAUACGAUAUUUACGAGAUAUCCUUUGGUCAAAAAGAUAAAUUUUUUUUUUCUAAAUAAGUGGGAUCGAAGAAGAAUUUUUUUAAAUAUUUAUAAUUUUUUUAAAUUGAAAAAUAUUUCUCAUAAGUGGAAAAGAAUUUCCGGAAGGAAGAAUGAUCGUCGAGAAGGGAUAAGAUCGGCUAAAUUUAGACGGUUGUCGUUUGUAAUUUUCGGAUCACGGUCACGACUCAUCCUAUUUUGUCUGACAGCUGUUUCAGCCUUACCCCCGCGUUACAGCCGACGUCUAGGCCUACGUAUUUCCGGUCCGGAUGAGCAGACCGCCACACGCCAUGCGGAAGUUGUCGCACGCGCUCUUCCGCAGGAUGGAAUUGGUAAUAAUUCAUGAAGUUCCCGUGUCUACUAGCACCCGGAUCCGUCUUAUCUUCCUGCCUUUCCUUGCGCGAUGAUCGUGCCUCUUCCCUCGACAUUUUAGAAAAUCUGAAAUUCGGGACACGUGGCUCCAGAUGAUCGAAGGAUACCUUACAAGGGACAAGGUGCCGUAACUCAUAUCGCCACUCGCAUUCUUUUCUCGAUUCAUCGCUUAACGUGCACCUCUAACGAGUUGGAAAAUUAUUUCGAGCAUCCUAUGCCCAAGUUAUUUGACUUAAAAACCUCCUUUCUCGAUAUUAAUAUAAUCAAAUAUCUUUAGGUCGAACGAAUCGAACUUUAUCUUCGAUCGUUGCAUAAUAUUCUUGUAUUAAUUAAGUAAAAAAAAAUAUUAUAAUCAAAGUUACAAUCGACGCUCGUAUAUAUACGUGUGUAUAUAUAUAUAUAUAAUCAUCGCUUCGUUAGAUUUCGAAUAGCUAUUUUCUAUAAUUACACGCAUCCGAUCGAAGUCUAGUUACUCGAAUUAACGACUUCGAGUCGAACGGCACGAGAUCGUAUUACCUGAAAUUAAGUAAUUCAAUUACUGAAAAAAGGGCGGAAGGUGUUUUCGCGCAAUUUCAACUAGAUUCUAAUCAAUUGGCCUUUAAAUUAUUCGAUAGCCGCGCCGUUAAGCAUCGCGCAAAAACCUGUUAUCCUUACGAAAGCUGCAAAGUACGUAAUUUAUACCGGUAAAUUACUUCUCCCCGGCUCUAAGUAACCCGUACUUCGGUACACGCGUACGUUAACACACAACGAUCCAAGGGGAUUUGGCAACACACCGUACCGGGCUUCGAAGCGAUUUGGCAAUUCGAACAGAAGUCAAACGUGCUCGUGACAUGCUCCAACUCAUGCUCGAUAUUUGCCAAUACCCAAUUCGCUUCGUACUUCUCACGAGCACGGCUCUAACGGAAAUUAAAACUCGAGAAAUUGAUCUUGAAACGAAGUGAUCGAAAGUGAAGUGAAAAUAAUUAAGGUCAAAAUGAGUAAAAGGCUUGAAAAGAUUGGCGGGACAUCUUGAACCGGCGAUGUAAACGCGUGGCUUUUACGAUUGCAGAAAAUUAGAUAAAUAAAAGGAAAUAAGGAAAAAAAGCCUUAAGUUGAAAAUGUUAAGCGAGGUCGUAAAAUUACUCGUUAAAACGAUGGUUCUCAACCAUCAUUUACGAAUCGCGGAACAUUCUUUUGAGGAAAUCGAGUCUUUUCAGUUUUAUGGAUCGCAAACGAAUCCCCAAGGAACGUGUGAAAGAAAAAUGUACACCGCGACGGGGGAUCGAGGAGGCCUUUUCUUUCCUCGAACAACGUGAAAGUAGGCGCGAAUUCUCGUUUGCAUUGCUGAUUCAGCAAUGAUUUUUUUUUUUUUCGUCGAUCCUCGGUGUGGGCCUCGACGAUGGCAAAGAUCGUUUCGUAGGCGAUAUUAGACAUGCAAGGAGAAACGAUCGCUCGAAGCGACUAUUCUUCCGGAUCGCGAUUUUAUCGGCAAAUUGUUCGGAUUGCGUGUACACUGCCAUAUUUGCCCGUACCUCGUUACGCAGCAUCAUCUCAUACAAUGGAACGAUUUAUGGCGGCGAUGGGGAGAUAUUUUGAAAUUUCAUCGCUGUCGAAAGUUGGCGCGAGAUUUAUGCCACUUGAAACCGUAAAUAUAAUACCACUUCCUUGCUUCGAUUUCAUUUUCGAGAAAUAAAUAAUUGUGAACGGCUGUAAGCGCCAUACGCUUCUUACGCAUCGUGAUAUCGUACAAAUCGUUAUAUCGUUAAUCACGCGCAUAUUAGUUGGAAACAUUCGUCGAAACGAAAUUUUUCUCGAGAACUUCUUGGAACUUUAAUCUUUGGUAAACUGGUGAUUGAUAAAUUUCUUCGGGAUGGCUCAUUUCCGGAAUGUAAAGUAACAAAGAAAUUUUCAACCGCGAAGGACAACGAACUCGCGCGUAUAUAUACUUACAGCUUAUAGUUCCAUUCGAAGCGCUGUUAGUCAUCGUUUGUUACCUAGUCAUCUUUAAUAUUGAAAACGCCUCAAGACAUUCCAGCGUUGCGACACCCUUUUGGCUCGGGCCUCUUCUGUAAUCGCGUCAUUGCACCCAAUGACAAAAUUAUCGUAAACAAAUGUGUCGGUAUAAAUGGAACCUCGGUAAUAAAAUUAAUGAUAGAAUUAAUAACCUCUCUGUAAUUUCUAGACAAAGUUUCGCAUAUUCCCCCAGAGAUUAAUACCGAUACAAAUCCUUAUUUUAUUUCCAACAUGUAUUACCACGCCAGUUCAAAACGACUCGACGAUUAUGAUAUUUUAAAAACAUCCUAGAUCAGAAUUAGUCUCUACGAGCAAUUAAUACUUUUGAUAUUAAAAUACUUUCGAACGGCACUGUAUAUCAGGCCAACACUUUUGAACGGUACUGUAUAUCAGAAAUAGUGCGAAUUAGAAUUCCGCGUGGCACAAUGCCCGCGCCCCGGUGAAAGAAUAUAAAUGUUUUUCCCUGGCGCCAAGAGAGUGGGAAGGAGGGGCAGCUGUGUACCGUUCGUUUCUCCCUUUCAUCCCUUUCCACUCUUCCUCGCCCCCGAAAAAUAUCCCGGUCGAGUCUCAGCUACUCUCCCCCGGAAGUCGAAUGUAAAGCGAUCCGUCCGGCUUAUUGAACGCUUGCCCGCGUCCGGGAAAUCCGCUUUUCCCGGAUUUUCGUAUCGGACAAAACGAUGGCCGCGAUCGACAGCGUUGAAAAGGGAGCGGCGUUUUCAAGCCGCUCGAAAAUUGAAGAGGAAACGGGCGGGAGAAUGCAUGCGUGUGCACCACCUCGCUUCUUACCUUCGAACGGAAGGGGAAGAACGAAAGGGGCGCGUGUUCGAACCCACUUGCCGAGGAUUCUCCCCAAACGCGGCUUCGUUCGUGUUUCCCUCCUUUCUUUUCAAAGCUUUGCUGAAUUUGUCCCACGGAUUAAGCACGAUCGUUCAUCCAGGUAUCGAUCUUUUGUGUCGUUUACACUUAAAUAAAGGGUGAAAUGCGCAAUGAAACGAAAGUAGCACGUUUGUGUCGUGUUUUCCUAGUUAUUUUUCUUUCUUUCUUUUUCAGAUUCUUAUAGUAAUUUUUCUGAUCAAUAAAAUAAAUAAUAUCAUCGUACAAUUUACUUGGAAAUCGUCUUUAAAUUAUAUUUUUAAACGAGGAAAUGUUUCUAUCAAAACCGCCUGAGCAUUAACGUUGUCAAUAAUAGAGAGACAUAGGAAACGUUAUUCGUUGGAAAUGUGGUACGAUGUGUAUAUAUAUAUAUAUAUAUGGUGCUACUGCGAGAACGGAAACUCGUAAGCGACUCCGUCAUAUCCGGAAUAAGAGACGAAGAAUUUUAAUUUAGCCGAGCAAUGGAAUCGUUGAAAGGGAUCUGUUCAACCGCUUCCCUCAUUUUUACGUUCAUUGUCAAUCGCUAAUGUAAUAAUACAAUCCCGCGGUAUGUGUGCGUCUUUUCUCGACACGGCCAAUUAUGAAUGGUUAUAGGAAACAUGAGAAUGUUCUCGUACGAUUACGACCUCACCGCUUAUCAUUUCCUGCACUCACUCGAACUGCAUCGUAAUCUGACGCAAUUUCGCGCGAAAUCGAUAACGCUGGUAUUUUCAAGUUUAUUGUUCGCCACAUGCGAAUCGAGCUUUCAUAUUCUUUUGUCUCGUAUACUCGGGUAAAGAUGUAAUAUCCCAAUUAAAAUUACUUACGUAAAAUUGAAUUAUAAAAUGGAUAAUUCAAUUUAAAUUUAAUUUAAUUUAAUUUAGACAGAAUCAGAGAAAAGUAAAAAUAUUUAUUUAACGUGUAGAAUAAACGUGUUGUAAUGUAAAUGUAGGUUAUCGUAUACCUUGCGUACCGAUAUGUAACGUCGAUAAUCGAUUAUUUGGGUUUACAAUCUUUCGAACCACUGUCGAGUUUUGCGUUCAAUUGUUUAGUCUUCCAAUGUGAAUUAUGAAUUCUGAACUUCUUUCUCGAUAUUAUUAUUAUAAUUAAUACGUUCAUUGUCGUGCAAUAAUAUUCACGAUAUACGGCAUACUCAGAUAUUUCGUGCGUCAAAAAUUGUGUCUAAAUGUACGAAACAUUUGUUUUAAAAAUAAAAUUCAAUAGUAGUCGGCGAGUAAAAA